UACGUAGGGUCCGAGCGUUGUCCGGAAUUACUGGGCGUAAAGAGCUCGUAGGUGGGUUGUCGCGUUGUUCGUGAAAACUCACAGCUCAACUGUGGGCGUGCGGGCGAUACGGGCAGACUAGAGUACUGCAGGGAGACUGGAAUUCCUGGUGUAGCGGUGGAAUGCGCAGAUAUCAGGAGGAACACCGGUGGCGAAGGCGGGUCUCUGGGCAGUAACUGACGCUGAGGAGCGAAAGCGUGGGGAGCGAACAGG
rnacentral:rRNA from 1 species